rnacentral:rRNA from 1 species
AAUGAACGCUGGCGGCAUGCCUUACACAUGCAAGUCGAACGGCAGCAUGACCUAGCUUGCUAGGUUGAUGGCGAGUGGCGAACGGGUGAGUAAUGCAUCGGAACGUGCCUUUUAGUGGGGGAUAACGUAGCGAAAGUUACGCUAAUACCGCAUAUUCUCUGAGGAGGAAAGCAGGGGACCUUCGGGCCUUGCGCUAGAAGAGCGGCCGAUGUCGGAUUAGCUAGUUGGUGAGGUAAAGGCUCACCAAGGCAACGAUCCGUAGCGGGUCUGAGAGGAUGAUCCGCCACACUGGGACUGAGACACGGACCAGACUCCUACGGGAGGCAGCAGUGGGGAAUUUUGGACAAUGGGCGCAAGCCUGAUCCAGCCAUGCCGCGUGAGUGAAGAAGGCCUUCGGGUUGUAAAGCUCUUUCGGCUGGGAAGAAAUCGAACCCUCUAAUACAGGGUGUGGAUGACGGGACCAGCAUAAGAAGCACCGGCUAACUACGU